rnacentral:rRNA from 1 species
GACGAACGCUGGCGGCGUGCUUAACACAUGCAAGUCGAACGGAAAGGCCCUGCUUUUGUGGGGUGCUCGAGUGGCGAACGGGUGAGUAACACGUGAGUAACCUGCCCUUGACUUUGGGAUAACUUCAGGAAACUGGGGCUAAUACCGGAUAGGAGCUCCUGCUGCAUGGUGGGGGUUGGAAAGUUUCGGCGGUUGGGGAUGGACUCGCGGCUUAUCAGCUUGUUGGUGGGGUAGUGGCUUACCAAGGCUUUGACGGGUAGCCGGCCUGAGAGGGUGACCGGCCACAAUGGGACUGAGAGACGGCCCAGACUCCUACGGGAGGCAGCAGUGGGGAAUAUUGCACAAUGGGCGGAAGCCUGAUGCAGCAACGCCGCGUGCGGGAUGACGGCCUUCGGGUUGUAAACCGCUUUCGCCGGUGACGAAGCGUGAGUGACGGUAAUGGGUAAAGAAGCACCGGCUAACUACGUG